rnacentral:rRNA from 1 species
AGGGUUUGAUUCUGGCUCAGGACGAACGCUGGCGGCGUGCCUAAUACAUGCAAGUAGAACGCUGAAGACUUUAGCUUGCUAAAGUUGGAAGAGUUGCGAACGGGUGAGUAACGCGUAGGUAACCUGCCUACUAGCGGGGGAUAACUAUUGGAAACGAUAGCUAAUACCGCAUAACAGCAUUUAACCCAUGUUAGAUGCUUGAAAGGAGCAAUUGCUUCACUAGUAGAUGGACCUGCGUUGUAUUAGCUAGUUGGUGAGGUAACGGCUCACCAAGGCGACGAUACAUAGCCGACCUGAGAGGGUGAUCGGCCACACUGGGACUGAGACACGGCCCAG